CUUAGUAUUAGUGAUGCUUGAAGACUUGCCAUACAGUUAUUUUAACUACCUUGUUUCUCCCAUCUUUCAUCCUCUCAGCGGCCCAGGUCCACUCAUGCUAGCCUGAUAUUCCAUAGAGCCUUGCCUCAGUGGGGUAGACUGGCUGUAUUCCAGAACCACACUUCAAUUGGAUUAAUGUGGCUAUAAGAGGCGCCAACUGACAGUGUGUCUUUUCCCUGAUAUGUGCUGAGCUGUCAGCAACACAACUGGCCUAUUGCAAGGUGGCACCUAGAAUAUCUAGGCAAGCUCUCAACAUGUAAUUGUGAGGAUUUAGAAUUAGUAUGUUACUUUUGACUCUGCCUCAUGGCUUUCCCCAGAAACAGCUAUUCAGGGCAACUCCGACUCAAAGAGAUUUCUGGGAAUGAAAUGUCUUUUUCCUUCCCCAGGAAGAUCAGAGAAUCUUUAACCUUUCCUUCUCUAGGUGUUUCAAGAUGGUGCUGUGUAUUGGUGGAGAAGAGAGCAGUGCCUGGCCCAGAUGUCCGAGACCGGGCAAGGCAGCUCCCUUCCCGCACCGGCUUCUCCGUGGUCUCCGGGCUCCGCUCUGCACUGGCUCUCCCGUUGCUGCUCCAGGUCCUGGACGUUUUGGCUUCUGAGAGAUGGUCUGUGCUUGCUGCCUUCUCCCAGCCCGGCUGCCUCCCUGGCCCCGUUGCCAGCCAAUGUCAUUUCUCCUUUGUCCAUAACUUGAGCCAAUAGAAUAUCUUCUCGAAUGGUCUGCCUCUCCCACAAUCCUGUUGUAACAACUGCUGUCUUAUCAGGUGAGGCAAGACCUGCACAAGUGUGCUUGCUCCUCACGGCCACCGCUGGUUCAGUGCCAGGACCCCCGAGUAUCAGAUGAGGAAGCUUCGUCCAGUUGAUCCAGAGAAGAGGAUGCCCCAAUACUCCUCUCAUAGGUCACUACACAUUUGAUUUACAGCCUUUUUCUCAAUGUAUAGUUACAGAUCUGGGUAUGUGUGUUUUUUAAUGUACAAAUGACUCUUUAAUGUCAUACACAUCCACAUUCUCUCACACACAGACUCACACAUAUACGUAUGCUCGCAUACACAACUUUACACUCAUGCCAAGGCGUGCGUAUACCACACAUGCACACACACGCACACAUACACUUGCACAAAUAUGAGUCUGAAAGGUUGUUUAUUGUGCUUUCUGAGGCUCCCUAAGACCCUUAGAAUUAGGUUCAAAUUUCUUGGUCUGGCAUUUGGGAUCCGCUGGAAUCCCAAUGUCUUUCCAGUCUUUUCUAUUCCCACACCUCUCUCACCUCCAUUAGGAAUCCAGUGGGUGACAGCCAGGACUAUGCUGGUUGGCAGGGAGGCUGUGAGGUAGAAAGCUGAUGCUGGGAUUCCUGUGUCUUUUUUAUCUAUACCAUUGAGGCCUUCUAUUGGUAUCCAUUCCUAUCUAAGGAACAAACUCCCAUUAGGACCCUUCCUACUUUACUCAAGCUCUUUUGUCUACCCUGAUCCUCUCCCAACUACUUUUUUGAAAUCUGACCUUCAUCAGUACACUUUAUGUAUCCAUCUGCAUUCCCUACACCCUGGGCAAUGACCUUCUCAACCCAGGUCUCUAUAUUCCUUCCUCGUGCCACAUACCAGCCUUGUGUUAAAGUUACCUGGCUUACUUUUCUCAUCUUGUCUUCAAACCUGGAGACUUGGUUGGUGAAGUGUUGAAUUUGCCAGUAUCAUUUCAAAGAGUUUAGCAAGAUAUCUUGCACAAAUCAGGUGCUCUAAAAACUCAUGUAUAAGGUAUAAAAGUCGGCAUAUUUUUUGGUCAGUAAAUUCUUCCACAGUCAUUUAGUUCAAUUUAUAACAUUGUGUAUUGAAAUUAUUUAAGGCAACCUUUUAGGUGUAAGUAUUAUUCGAUGAGGAUAAAACACUAAACCAGAAUCAUGGGGGGCCCUUCUGUGGGCUGGUCCCAGGGGAACAAGAUCUUGGGCCAAAGGGAUGUGCAAGGUGUCAGGGAAGAGCCAUUUUACAGGAUCAUAGUUUUUGGUGGGAUGCAUGAAGAGGCAUCUAGAGCAUAAAAUAAAGUGAGAAUGUUCUAGAAAAAGGAAUGCCUA
rnacentral:lncRNA from 12 species